rnacentral:rRNA from 1 species
AUUGAACGCUGGCGGCAGGCCUAACACAUGCAAGUCGAGCGAGCGGCGGACGGGGGAGUAAUGUCUGGGAAACUGCAUGAUGGAGGGGGAGAACUGCUGGCAACGGUAGGUAAUACCGCACAACAUCAGAUGUGCACAGAUGGGAUUAGCUAGUAGGUUGGGUAACGGCUCACCUAGGCGACGAUCCCUAGCUGGUCUGAGAGGAUGACCAGCCACACUGGAACUGAGACACGGUCCAGCCUCCUACGGGAGGCAGCAGUGGGGAAUAUUGCACAAUGGGCGCAAGCCUGAUGCAGCCAUGCCGCGUGUGUGAAGAAGGCCUUCGGGUUGUAAAGCACUUUCAGCGGGGAGGCGUUACCCGCAGAAGAAGCACCGGCUAACUCCGUGCCAGCAGCCGCGGUAAUUC